GUUCUCUUUGUUCUCCAAAGCACCACAGAACAUUUUGUUCAUUUUUGAAUAGAGUGAGGAAUAAAAAAAAUCACUUUGGUUCAUUCCACGGCACUAGAAAUGCUUUCUUUCAAUGUAUUUUCAUUCCCAAAGUACUGUAAGUCUAAUUUCUCUUUUUUUGUAAGAUAAAAAUUUCUAAAGUAUAUGAUAAUCAUACAAAUGUAUGACAAUAAAUGACAAGAUAUGAAAGCACUUAGUGCCCCGUUGUAUUUGUUAUUUUUUGUUUGUUUCUUAUUUUUUAUCUGACUGUAUUUUGUACCCCUUAACCAACUUCUCUUCAUUCCCCACUCCUCCAUCUCCUUCCCAGUCUCUGGUAACCAUCAUUCUACUCUCUACCUCCAUGAGAUCCACUUUUUAAACUCCCAUAUACAAGUGAGAACAUGCAAUAUUUGUCACAGAAAGCCUGGCUUAUUUCAUUUAACAUAAUGACCUCCCGUUCCAUCUGUGAUGGGAUUUUUUUCUUUUUAUGACUGAACAAUAUUCUAUUGUGUAUACAUAUACACCACAUUUUCUUUAUCUGUUCAUUCAUUGAUGGACACAGGUUAAAUCCACAUUUUGGAUAUUGUUAAUAGUGGUCUUAAACAUGAAAGUGCAGAUAUCUCUUUUAUAUACUGAUUGAUUUUCCUUGGAUGUAUACCCAGUAGUAGAAUUGUUGAAUCAUGUGGUAGUUCUAUUUUCAGUUUUUUGAGGACUCUCCAUACUAUUUUUCAUAAUGGCUCUGCUAAUUUACAUUCCCACACAGUAUGUAAGAGUUUCUCUUUCUCUGCAUCCUCACCAGAAGUUAUUUUUUAUCCUUUCGAUAAUAGCCAUUGUAACUGGGGUGAGAUGACACCUCAUUGAGGCUUUGAUUUGCAUUUUCCUUAUGAUUAGUAAUGUAGAGCAUGUAUUCAUAUACCUGUUGGCCAUUUGCAUGUCUUCUUUUGAGAAAUGUCAAUUUAGGACUUUUGUUUAUUUUUUAAUUGGGAUCUUUCUUUUUGCUAUUGAGUUGUUUGAGUUUCUUACAUAUUCUGAUUAUUAAGGUCUUGUCAGAGGGACAUUUGCACAUAUUUUCUCCCAUUCUGUAAGUUGUCUUUUCACUCUGUUGAUGAUUUUUGUUUUUGUUUUUGUUUUUUUUUUUUUUUUUUGCUGUGCAGGCACUUUUUAGCUUGACAUAAUCACAUUUAUCUAUUUUUACUUUUGUUGCCAGAGCUUUUGAGAUCUUACCCAACUAAUCUUUGCCCAGAUCAAUGUUCUGUAACAUUUCUCCAGUGUUUUCUUUUAGUAGUUUUCUAGCUUCAGGUCUUACAUGUACAUCUUCACUCCAUUUUGUGUUCAUUUUGCAUAUGGUGAAAGAAGAAAUCUAGUUUCAUUUUUCUACAUAUAGAUAUCCAGUUUUCCCAGCACCAUUUAUUAAAGAGACUGUCCUUUCUUCAAUGUAUGUUCUUGGCACCUUGGUCAACAAUGAGUUCGUUGUAAGUGAAUGAAUUUAUUUCUCGGUUCUCUAUUCUGUGCCAUUGUUCUAUGUCACUAUGUCUGUUUUAUACCAGUACCAUGCUGUUUUGAUUACUAUAACUUUAUAAUAUAAUUCAAAAUAAGGUAAUGUGGUGCCUCUGCUUUUGCUGUUUUUGUUCAGGAUUUCUUUAGCUAUUUUGGGUGUUUUGUGGUUCCAUACAAACUUUAGGAUUUUUUUUUCCUAUUUUUGUGAAAUGACGGAUCUCUACAAGGAAAACUAUACAACACUGAUGAAAAAAAAACUGAAGAAGAAAUACACAAAAAAUGAAGAGCUAUCCUACCCUCAUGAAUUGCAAAGCUUAAUAUUGUUAAAAUGUCUAUCCUACCCAAGGUGACCUACAAAUUCAAGGCAAACCCUAUCAAAAUACCAAUG
rnacentral:lncRNA from 1 species